rnacentral:rRNA from 2 species
UAGGGAAUCUUCGGCAAUGGACGAAAGGCUGACCGAGCAACGCCGCGUGAGUGAAGAAGGUUUUCGGAUCGUAAAACUCUGUUGUUAGAGAAGAACAAGGACGUUAGUAACUGAACGUCCCCUGACGGUAUCUAACCAGAAAGCCACGGCUAACUACGUGCCAGCAGCCGCGGUAAUACGUAGGUGGCAAGCGUUGUCCGGAUUUAUUGGGCGUAAAGCGAGCGCAGGCGGUUUCUUAAGUCUGAUGUGAAAGCCCCCGGCUCAACCGGGGAGGGUCAUUGGAAACUGGGAGACUUGAGUGCAGAAGAGGAGAGUGGAAUUCCAUGUGUAGCGGUGAAAUGCGUAGAUAUAUGGAGGAACACCAGUGGCGAAGGCGGCUCUCUGGUCUGUAACUGACGCUGAGGCUCGAAAGCGUGGGGAGCAAACAGG